AGCACGGCCGGCCGCGGCGCGGGACGUGGCGGCGCGGCGUCUGGCGGCCCCAAGCCCCAAAGGGGUAAAGCGCUCCCGCUGGGCCGAGAGGAAGGGGAAGAGCUACGAGCCGCGCUGUGAUCAGCUGUUCUGGAUGGAAAAGCUGCCGGAAGACCCCAGCCCGCACUUCAUCUGGCCAAGGAAGAGAAAUUACAAUUGUGCUCUCAGUUCCAGUUGUUUGUAGCAGUGUCCAUUUCACUGGAUCAUCUCAACUCUGCCUUUUGAGAUAGCCCUCUUGCAGUUUCUUCUACUACAACUCCCACCCUCAUCUACCCCAACUAUCAUUUGGAAAUUUUCCGACAGGGAGAAAAGACAUUUGUUCCAGGUCCACCAUAAUAGCCCGUGGCACGUAUUUUCUAGUGCUUGUCUCUCUGAAAAAUGUGGCAAAAGAGUCGUCGUCGCUGGGCUGGUCCCUGAAGGUGCCGUCUGGCUGAAUGCCAUGUUCCAGACAGAAGAGUUCCCAACAUGCGUUGCCAAUUUGAACUCCAGCUUGACCAACAUGAACAGAGAUGCACUCACGCUAAAGGGGGAGAUGGGGAAAAAGAAAUUUCCUAUCUAGAUAUAAUCUCGAUAAAUCCACUGUAGCCUACCAGACCAGGAAGAUAUGGAAAUGCUCAGAUCUGCACACCAUACAAUCCUAAGGAUUCCAGUUUAUGAACUUGCUGAACAGUCAAAGAGGAUUCUUAAUCCCUCAUCCCCUCCACAGUACAGAGUGCCUGAAUAUAGUACUUGGGUGCCCAUUCCCUAAUUCCAAGCCAAACUGAAUGUCUCAGUGUUCCAUCAAAAUUGGAUUCUACCUGAUACCUGAAGACAGUGAAACAAAAGAUGGACUGGAUUUCAUAAAUCCUCUUAAUCACGCCCUGAGUUUUCCAAAACUACAUGGGUAAGUGGA